rnacentral:rRNA from 1 species
CAUUGGAGUAGCAUACUUCAGAUGGCGACCGGCGCACGGGUGAGUAACACGUAUCCAACCUGUUGCUUACUCGGGGAUAGCCUUUCGAAAGAAAGAUUAAUCCCCGAUGGUAUAAAGAGUUCGCAUGUUCUCUUUAUUAAAGAAUUUCGGUAAGCGAUGGGGAUGCGUUCCAUUAGAUAGUUGGCGGGGUAACGGCCCACCAAGUCUACGAUGGAUAGGGGUUCUGAGAGGAAGGUCCCCCACAUUGGAACUGAGACACGGUCCAAACUCCUACGGGAGGCAGCAGUGAGGAAUAUUGGUCAAUGGACGAGAGUCUGAACCAGCCAAGUAGCGUGAAGGAUGACUGCCCUAUGGGUUGUAAACUUCUUUUAUAAGGGAAUAAAGUGAGGGACGUGUCCCUUUUUGUAUGUACCUUAUGAAUAAGGAUCGGCUAACUCCGUGCCAGCAGCCGCGGUAAUACGGAGGAUCCGAGCGUUAUCCGGAUUUAUUGGGUUUAAAGGGAGCGUAGGUUGACGUAUAAGUCAGCUGUGAAAGUUUACGGCUCAACCGUGAAAUUGCAGUUGAUACUGUAUGUCUUGAGUGUACAAGAGGUGGGCGGAAUUCGUGGUGUAGCGGUGAAAUGCUUAGAUAUCACGAAGAACUCCGAUUG